GCCCAAGGAUAAAAGGGUUACCGUAUAUCUUCUAAUUUAUCGGACAGCAAAAAAUAAUUAUUUUGGAAAUUGUCCGGGUAUAAUUGGAACAGAUUUUUAUACAGCAUGCGAAGUGUCCGGAAUAAUUAGAACAAGCAAGCAGCUGCAUGCGAGCUAGCUAAGUUUAAUAGACCAGUGUGCGACUGAAUAGUUGCACUAGCUAUCUAAAACUAGCUACUCAAAGCUAUCUAACUGCAGCACUCUAAGUCUUGUCUUACUUGCCGUCUGUGAAUGGUGAAUGUAACUCAACUUUUCAAAGUAUUGUCCGGAUAUUUAGAACAAAUGUAAUAUUAACCCUUUCCCGGCUUUAGCCGUCAUAUGACGGCAGCGGUAGUGAUAAUUUUCAAAAAAUCGUUGUGGGCGCUGUGUUGGAGCUAUGCGCACACUGUAGGUACCAGCACAUGCGCAUUGGGCUGCUCUUUCACAUGGUAUCUUUAAUAUCUUGCCUUGAGGUACGCUUUGUACAGUACUGUCGAAAGAAAAGUGACCGUUUGAUAAUGGCUACAAGAUCUUUGUAGUACAACCUCAGCGAGGUUCUAGGGCAGCUAGACAGUGAGAAUAACGAUGCUUAUGGCCUUGUUGAGUAAGAGGACAGUGACUGGGAUCAUACCAAGAGAGGAAACUACUUUUCAGAGAUCAAGCUAUAAACAUAGAGCCUGAAGAGCCGGAGGAAGAAGCUCCUGAGCAUGAACCAAAGUCCUGGACCUUGUGAAGAAAACAUUUCCCGGGAAAAGAGCGUCUGCCGAUACGACCUCGCAGAGAAGUUUCUGCUGAUCCUGAUUGAACCAUGUCACCGUGAGAACAUUGAGAACACUUACUUAGUGUUUUUAGUUACUUCAUGCCUUCAUACAAUAUUCUUUAUGUUCAUAA